UAUAGAAUGAGGCUGGAAUUGAUGACUUCAUCAAAGGAAUGGGCAUCAUAGGAAUUCUUUAUGACUUUCAGAGUUCUCUAGGACAUUGCAUCUGACUUGGCCCUAAGUGAGGAUGCUCCUCCGGAGCCUCUGUCAGACGUGUGGGGAGAUGUGGAAGAAGAAAGAGGAAAGCUAAUGGCUGUGAACACGAGCUUCCCUGCAGCAUCAUGGUCUUCUCUAGCCACCUUUAUAGCUGUCCUCUCUUCAGCUUCUGUAACGUGGAGGUCUUCAGAGGGUUGCUGAGGAGCAGGCAGCGGAGCAGAGCCCUGCAAUCUCUCCAUCCCACCGCCCAGUCCUCUGGAGGAAGCACACCUUCUGUUUGUGUCAGAGGGGUUAAUUAACAAGAGUCAAUGUCGCUUUCAAUAAUUACGAAGUCUCAAAAUUUGUGGAAGGCACAAUGAAGGCGUGGCAGCUGUACCAAAAUAAAUCUGUCUCUGACCAUGCAGCCACAGCUGUUCUAUCUCAAAAAGAAUUUUCAAAUCGCCUUGGCUUCUCAUAAGCCUGAGAAAUGAGUAUCACUCAAUUCUGCCAGAGUCUGUGGGACUUGAAAACAGGAACAAUGGUC
rnacentral:lncRNA from 1 species